UGGGAAUUUUGGACAAUGGGCGAAAGCCUGAUCCAGCAAUGCCGCGUGUGUGAAGAAGGCCUUCGGGUUGUAAAGCACUUUUGUCCGGAAAGAAAUCCUUGGCUCUAAUACAGUCGGGGGAUGACGGUACCGGAAGAAUAAGCACCGGCUAACUACGUGCCAGCAGCCGCGGUAAUACGUAGGGUGCAAGCGUUAAUCGGAAUUACUGGGCGUAAAGCGUGCGCAGGCGGUUUGCUAAGACCGAUGUGAAAAUCCCCGGGCUCAACCUGGGAACUGCAUUGGUGACUGGCAGGCUAGAGUAUGGCAGAGGGGGUAGAAUUCCACGUGUAGCAGUGAAAUGCGUAGAGAUGUGGAGGAAUACCGAUGGCGAAGGCAGCCCCUGGGCCAAUACUGACGCUCAUGCACGAAAGCGUGGGGAGCAAAACAGGAUUAGAUACCCUGGUAGUCCACGCCCUAAACGAUGUCAACUAGUUGUUGGGAUUCAUUUCCUUAGUAACGUAGCUAACGCGUGAAGUUGACCGCCUGGGGAGUACGGUCGCAAGAUUAAAACUCAAAGGAAUUGACGGGGUCAUAGCUGUUUCCU
rnacentral:rRNA from 1 species